AUGAGUCUGCUAAGUUGGAACUGCCGCGGAAUUGGCAAAGCCGCGACAGUCUGUGAGCUUCGCGACUUAGCGAGGCAAUUUGCCCCCUCUAUCCUUUGCAUUGUAGAAACACAAAUAGAGGGAUCGAGAGUUGAAAAUUUAGCAGAUACCUUAGGUUACAAUAAAAGCUUUGCUGUUAGUAGUUCUGGAUGAAGUGGUGGACUCGAUUUUUUUUGGAAUGAUGAAAUAAAAGUUGAAAUUACUGGUUACUCGAAGUACCGUAUUGAUACUCUUGUUGAUGGUUUGGCGGAUUUGCAGGUCAGGCUGACCUUUGUGUACGGUGAAGCCCAAGUACCGGAACGAUAUCAUACAUGGAAUACCCUAUGGGGGAUAGCCGAAACAUAG
rnacentral:rRNA from 1 species